UGCAGUUGUCAAAUUCAGUGGUACUUGUCUUGUGGUAUUCACUGGCCUAAACUGCUGCUACAGAGAAACUGUAGUUCAUGGGCCUCGCAUCCAUUUUUCAGGUGCUGGGGAUAAUCAUUUGCUACAGACAUUU